CCUACGGGAGGCAGCAGUAGGGAAUUUUCGACAAUGGGGGGAACCCUGACCGAGCAACGCCGCGUGAGGGAGGAAGGAUUUCGGUAUGUAAACCUCUGUUGUAAGGGAAGAACGGUGCAUGUAGGGACUGACAUGCAAGUGACGGUACUUUAUGAGGAAGCCACGGCUAACUACGUGCCAGCAGCCGCGGUAAUACGUAGGUGGCGAGCGUUAUCCGGAAUUAUUGGGCGUAAAGCGGGUGCAGGCGGCAAGUAAGGUCUGCGGUAAAAGCCUGAGGCUAAACUUCGGUAAGCCGUGGAAACCGAUGAGCUUGAGUGCAGAAGAGGAGCGUGGAACUCCAUGUGUAGCGGUGAAAUGCGUAGAUAUAUGGAGGAACACCAGUGGCGAAGGCGACGAUCUGGGCUGCAACUGACGCUGAGGCUCGAAAGCGUGGGGAGCAAAUAGGAUUAGAUACCCUUGUAGUC
rnacentral:rRNA from 1 species